rnacentral:rRNA from 1 species
UACGUAGGGGGCAAGCGUUGUCCGGAUUUAUUGGGCGUAAAGAGCGUGUAGGCGGCUUUACAGGUCCGUUGUGAAAACUCGAGGCUCAACCUCGAGACGCCGGUGGAAACCGUAAGGCUAGAGUCCGGAAGAGGAGAGUGGAAUUCCUGGUGUAGCGGUGAAAUGCGCAGAUAUCAGGAAGAACACCCGUGGCUAAGGCGGCUCUCUAGUACGGUACUGACGCUGAGACGCGAAAGCGUGGGGACCAAACAGG